UGUAGUAAAGUGUUUUAUGCAUAAUGUAUUUUGGUUACAUAGGUGGUUAGAUUCCUAUUACUU
rnacentral:tRNA from 1 species